ensembl:lncRNA
CCCUACAAUCUUUUUUUUUUUUUUUUUUUUUUUAAUGUAUUUUCUAAGAGGUACAACAAGGGCUAAAUAGCACCACAAUCAUGAAACCAGACUUAAACUUUAACAAGCUCAGGUACAAACACACUUAAACACCAGAGGUCAGAGUUACUGUUUCUGAUCAAUCUGAUCAAAAUUUUGCUGAGGUGAAAGGAAAUACAGUGUGAACAGAAUCAGGCGAGUCCACUUCACUCAGGCUGCAACAAAUCUCUCAAAAUGAAGUAUGAAGGUGUUGAAGUUCACAGCUGACAUAAUGACAUGGUGUCUGUAGCACACAGCUUGUUUUGAUAUAAGCAGUCUACCCUAUAUUUAGCUCGUCAUGCUACAUAUGUGAUUAGCAAAGCUACAUAUGUCAUUAGCUAAGGACGCUAGGCCUUCGACCUACGCCAUAGUUUACACCAGUCAUUAGCUGAGCGUUAGGUCUUCAUUUUCACCAUCGCUGUGAAUUGGUUUAGUGUGUUAGCCCUUCAUCUAACAUCAGUGAUUAGCUUAGAUAGUGGUAGCUUCUAAUUCUAUGUGUGUUAGUGUUUUAUUCUACAUUAGCGAUUACCUCAGAGUGUUAGUGUUUUAUUCUACAUUAGAGAUUACCUCAGUGUUAGUGUUUUAUUCUACAUUUGCGAUUACCUCAUUAGUGAUUACCUCAGUGUUAGUGUUUUAUUCUACAUUAGAGACUACCUCAGAGUGUUAGUGUUAUAUUCUACAUUAGAGAUUACCUCAGUGUUAGUAUUUUAUUCUACAUUAGAAAUUACCUCAGAGUGUUAGUGUUUUAUUCUACAUUAGAGAUUACCUCAGUGUUAGUGUGUUUUAUUCUACAUUAGAGAUUAC